GGAAGCGUGGCCGAGUGGUUGAAGGCGCACGACUCGAAAUCGUGUAUAGGUAACACUAUCGGGGGUUCGAAUCCCUUCGCUUCCGCCA
rnacentral:tRNA from 1 species